CCCCUCCCCAGAGCUGCCAGCAGAGGAAGGGAAAUCCAUCUGGGAGUUGGUGGUGGAGCAGUUCGAGGAUCUCCUGGUUCGGAUCCUGCUCUUGGCCGCCUGCAUUUCCUUCGUCCUGGCCUGGUUCGAGGAGGGCGAGGAAACCAUCACGGCCUUCGUCGAGCCCUUCGUCAUCCUCCUCAUCCUCAUCGCCAACGCCGUCGUCGGGGUCUGGCAGGUG